rnacentral:rRNA from 1 species
UACGUAGGGGGCAAGCGUUGUUCGGAAUUACUGGGCGUAAAGCGCGUGCAGGCGGCCUUUCAAGUCGGACGUGAAAUCCCACGGCUCAACCGUGGAAGUGCAUUCGAAACUGCGAGGCUGGAGUCCUGGAGAGGAAAGUGGAAUACUCGGUGUAGAGGAGAAAUUCGUAGAUAUCGAGUGGAACACCGGUGGCGAAGGCGGCUUUCUGGACAGGUACUGACGCUGAGACGCGAAAGCGUGGGGAGCAAACAGG